CACGUAGGGUGCGAGCGUUGUCCGGAAUUAUUGGGCGUAAAGAGCUCGUAGGCGGUUUGUCGCGUCUGCCGUGAAAGUCCGGGGCUCAACUCCGGAUCUGCGGUGGGUACGGGCAGACUAGAGUGAUGUAGGGGAGAUUGGAAUUCCUGGUGUAGCGGUGGAAUGCGCAGAUAUCAGGAGGAACACCGAUGGCGAAGGCAGAUCUCUGGGCCGUAACUGACGCUGAGGAGCGAAAGCAUGGGGGAGCGAACAGG
rnacentral:rRNA from 1 species